UACGUAGGGGGCUAGCGUUGUCCGGAAUCAUUGGGCGUAAAACGCGUGUAGGCGGUCCGGUAAGUCCGCUGUGAAAGUCGAGGGCUCAACCUCGAAUGCCGGUGGAUACUGUCGGGCUUGAGUACGGGAGAGGCGAGUGGAAUUCCUGGUGUAGCGGUGAAAUGCGCAGAUAUCAGGAGGAACACCGAUUGCGAAGGCAGCUCGCUGGAACGUUACUGACGCUGAGACGCGAAAGCGUGGGGAGCAAACAGG
rnacentral:rRNA from 1 species